ACGCUUCUUUCCUCCCGAGUGCUUGCACUCAAUUGGAAAGAGGAGUGGCGGACGGGUGAGUAACACGUGGGUAACCUACCCAUCAGAGGGGGAUAACACUUGGAAACAGGUGCUAAUACCGCAUAACAGUUUAUGCCGCAUGGCAUAAGAGUGAAAGGCGCUUUCGGGUGUCGCUGAUGGAUGGACCCGCGGUGCAUUAGCUAGUUGGUGAGGUAACGGCUCACCAAGGCCACGAUGCAUAGCCGACCUGAGAGGGUGAUCGGCCACACUGGGACUGAGACACGGCCCAGACUCCUACGGGAGGCAGCAGUAGGGAAUCUUCGGCAAUGGACGAAAGUCUGACCGAGCAACGCCGCGUGAGUGAAGAAGGUUUUCGGAUCGUAAAACUCUGUUGUUAGAGAAGAACAAGGACGUUAGUAACUGAACGUCCCCUGACGGUAUCUAACCAGAAAGCCACGGCUAACUACGUGCCAGCAGCCGCGGUAAUACGUAGGUGGCAAGCGUUGUCCGGAUUUAUUGGGCGUAAAGCGAGCGCAGGCGGUUUCUUAAGUCUGAUGUGAAAGCCCCCGGCUCAACCGGGGAGGGUCAUUGGAAACUGGGAGACUUGAGUGCAGAAGAGGAGAGUGGAAUUCCAUGUGUAGCGGUGAAAUGCGUAGAUAUAUGGAGGAACACCAGUGGCGAAGGCGGCUCUCUGGUCUGUAACUGACGCUGAGGCUCGAAAGCGUGGGGAGCAGACAGGAUUAUAUACCCUGGUAGUCCACGCCGUAAACGAUGAGUGCUAAAUGUUGGAGGGUUUCCGCCCUUCAGUGCUGCAGCAAACGCAUUAAGCACUCCGCCUGGGGGAGUACGACCGCAACGGUUGAAACUCAAAGGAAAUUGACGGGGGGCCCGCACAAGCGGAUGGAGCAUGUGGUUUAAGUUCGAAGCAACGCGAAGAAACCUUACCAGGUCUUGACAUCCUUUGGACCACUCUAGAGAUAGAGCUUUCCCUUCCGGGGACAAAGUGACARGAUGSUGCAUGGUUGUCSUCCGCUCGUGUCGUGAGAUGUUGGGUUAAGUCCCGCAACGAGCGCAACCCUUAUUGUUAGUUGCCAUCAUUUAGUUGGGCACUCUAGCGAGACUGCCGGUGACAAACCGGAGGAAGGUGGGGAUGACGUCAAAUCAUCAUGCCCCUUAUGACCUGGGCUACACACGUGCUACAAUGGGAAGUACAACGAGUCGCUAGACCGCGAGGUCAUGCAAAUCUCUUAAAGCUUCUCUCAGUUCGGAUUGCAGGCUGCAACUCGCCUGCAUGAAGCCGGAAUCGCUAGUAAUCGCGGAUCAGCACGCCGCGGUGAAUACGUUCCCGGGCCUUGUACACACCGCCCGUCACACCACGAGAGUUUGUAACACCCGAAGUCGGUGAGGUAAC
rnacentral:rRNA from 1 species